GGGUGACAGAUGUCGCAGCCAAAUCGCCCUCACAUCCAUUGAUCACCAGGGUUGAUUCAGCUCAUCUGGCUGGCUAGGCGGGUGCCCCCUUCCUCCCUCACCGCUCCAUGUGCGUCCCUCCCGAAGCUGCGUGCUCAGUGGAAGAGGACAACCAUCCCUACAUUAAGCAAAUUCCUCAUAAGAAAAAGAUG
rnacentral:snRNA from 1 species